rnacentral:rRNA from 1 species
CCUACGGGAGGCAGCAGUGGGGAAUAUUGCACAAUGGGGGAAACCCUGAUGCAGCGACGCCGCGUGAGUGAAGAAGUAUUUCGGUAUGUAAAGCUCUAUCAGCAGGGAAGAAAAUGACGGUACCUGACUAAGAAGCCACGGCUAACUACGUGCCAGCAGCCGCGGUAAUACGUAGGGGGCAAGCGUUAUCCGGAUUUACUGGGUGUAAAGGGAGCGUAGGCGGCAGCGCAAGUCUGAAGUGAAAUCGCAUGGCUUAACCAUGGAACUGCUUUGGAAACUGUGCAGCUGGAGUGCAGGAGAGGUAAGCGGAAUGCCUGGUGUAGCGGUGAAAUGCGUAGAUAUUAGGAGGAACACCAGUGGCGAAGGCAGCUUACUGGACUGUAACUGACGUUGAGGCUCGAAAGCGUGGGGAGCAAACAGGAUUAGAUACCCCGGUAGUC